rnacentral:misc_RNA from 1 species
UCUCCGUUGGUGAACCAGCGGAGGGAUCAUUACCGAGUUUACAACUCCCAAACCCCUGUGAACAUACCUGUUUUGUUGCUUCGGCGGUGCCCUCGCUCUCGCGGCGAGGCCCGCCAGAGGACCCAAACAAACUCUUUGACUUUGAUCUAGGAUUAUACUUCUGAGUGAUACAAAAAAUAAAAUCGAAACUUUCAACAACGGAUCUCUUGGUUCUG